rnacentral:rRNA from 2 species
UGCAGUCGACGGUAACAGGUCUUCGGACGCUGACGAGUGGCGAACGGGUGAGUAAUACAUCGGAACGUGCCCAGUCGUGGGGGAUAACUACUCGAAAGAGUAGCUAAUACCGCAUACGAUCUGAGGAUGAAAGCGGGGGACCUUCGGGCCUCGCGCGAUUGGAGCGGCCGAUGGCAGAUUAGGUAGUUGGUGGGAUAAAAGCUUACCAAGCCGACGAUCUGUAGCUGGUCUGAGAGGACGACCAGCCACACUGGGACUGAGACACGGCCCAGACUCCUACGGGAGGCAGCAGUGGGGAAUUUUGGACAAUGGGCGAAAGCCUGAUCCAGCAAUGCCGCGUGCAGGAUGAAGGCCUUCGGGUUGUAAACUGCUUUUGUACGGAACGAAAAAGCUUCUCCUAAUACGAGAGGCCCAUGACGGUACCGUAAGAAUAAGCACCGGCUAACUACGUGCCAGCAGCCGCGGUAAUACGUAGGGUGCAAGCGUUAAUCGGAAUUACUGGGCGUAAAGCGUGCGCAGGCGGUUAUGUAAGACAGAUGUGAAAUCCCCGGGCUCAACCUGGGAACUGCAUUUGUGACUGCAUGGCUAGAGUACGGUAGAGGGGGAUGGAAUUCCGCGUGUAGCAGUGAAAUGCGUAGAUAUGCGGAGGAACACCGAUGGCGAAGGCAAU